UUUAGACCUCUGGAUUACAUCCCAUUCCUCUGCGCUACCUUCAGGGGCUCCCAGGGGCUAUCCCAAGCGGAGAGCAGGCUUUCAUUCCUUCAGCUCCGCCUAUGGGAAACACCGCCAUGCUCUCUGACGGAACUUGGGAACCGUGUGUGAGGGGUCAAGAGAUGUACCCCAGAGGUUUCUGGUCCUCGAAGCUGAGCUCCAUCUCGUUCUUUAAAUGUAUCUGGAAAUUCGGAAACUCCAGGGUUGAGCUUUGGGCUGGGACUCAGGCACAUUCGGAGACCAUGGUCUCCUGUUAAGAGGCUGCUAGGCAUGGCAGAAGCCCCAGGCUCCACCGAGCAGCAAGGUCAGUGCUGGCCUGACAGAUGUACCUAACUGAGGGCUGCUAUAGCCAGGAAUGGGGUGGGGUGUUGUGCAGAGAGCCUGCCAGGAAGCUGGGGGAGCAGGUCCCAGGGGCUGGGAAUGAGGCAGAUGGGAGCAUUGGGAGAAGGUGCCUCUGGCUGACAGGAUGUCAAGCCAGCUCCUGGGUGAGCUCUCAGGGGACAUGCAGCAGAGAGGUCUUUCAGAGGAGCAAUGCCUUUGGUAAGUGGGGACCACUUGGCGAGAAUGUGGGAGUGUCUAGCCCACCUGGGCAGAUGAGUUUAAAGGCCCUCCUCCUUGCCACCUCCUCAGAAACACUUAGAGCCCAGCAUAGACUCCAGUUAACCAUAGGAACAGGCGUGGGGACCGAGGCUGCUAAAGGCACUUACGCACACCCACAGCAAAGAGCUGGCACUCUGCUCAGCCAGCCAGCGCCUGAGCAAAGUGUGCUUAACUUGGUCCCUUCCACCGUCUCCCACUAGUCCAGGAUACGCCCCACCCCCGGGAUGCCAGGCGGAGCUAAAGAUAAUUUCAAAGGGUGGGUUUUUGUUUUUGUUUUUUUAAUGCCCAACCAGUGCUGUUCAGAUAAAAGCCAGGAAUUCAGGGGAAAGAGGUACAGCAGGCAAUGUCUUCAGCCUCUUUGGAUACCCGGAGUUUGUAGCUCGAGUUGGACCUAAAACCUGACCAGCAUCCACCAGGCCUGAGUUUGAACUCAGCACAUCAGCUCACGGUUCACAGAGGAAAUCCCUACCUGACCCGUCGAUCGGCCCGAAACUUCAACAUCUUUUUGGAAGCUCCGUCCCCAGGUCGGCAGCCUCAGAGGAGCCACCAGCCACCCUGCGGCUACCAUCCCUCCGAGAGAGAAGGAAGUCCUUGGUUCCAACUCUUAAGGCUGUGGCAGAGACGCGGGGCGAGCUGGGGCAGGCUUCAUGGGUUGCCCUUUCUCCCGGUUCUAGCACUGGAGAACAGGGACGGGGCUCCCUCUGGGCCACGGGAGGGGUAGCCCAGGUGCCCUAGGGGGCCUGUGGCUUCCUAGCAUUCGCCUGUGAUGCUACAGUUAGAAGGCCGGAGAGACAGAAUAAAUGAAGAGAGGACCUCCUCCCGGUUCACGUUCCCAAGAAGGAAAAGCAGAAAUGGAGAGAGGCAUGCACGGAGCAGGUGUACAGCUUCCAGGUAGUCCGACCUCACUGAGCUAAGGACACUGAGCAGCUGGGCGGGCGGAGGAGCAUGGGCUGCAUUCCCAUCUGCACGGAAACUCAUGCCAGCCCGACCUGCAGGGAGACGGUGUUCCAGCCUCUCCAGCUCCGAGCCCAGACACGGGCUCUGGGGCUGCAAACCAACUUGCUUCUCAGAGACCUUCCAAGCCCUUCUGAGGGUUAAAGCAAGCUUCAGGUUCAUUGGCUGUUACUGUUGCUGUUGCUGAGAAGCUGAGGAGAACUGAAGUCUCCGUUCCUCUCCCUCAGCCUGCCCAGCUUUCAUCUGUGCAGACAGGAGCACGAUGAUGCGUGAAGCGGCUCCGCACCCGGCCUGACAACACUCCCCUCUCCAGUUGCUUGCCCUCCGAGUUGCACUGGCCCAGCUGAUGCAAGAUGACAAAUUCCAGCUGGUAAUUGUCAAAUCUGCUCGGCCGCCAGGAGGUCUGCAUGGAUGUUAAUUGCCCCGAAUAGGUCAAAGCUAGUCAAAUCUCCUCUUUCUCACUGUCCUCCGUGCUUUAGGAUGCUUGGGCUGCAAGGCCUUCUGAAGGUCACCUCCUCAUCCCCCUGCCUCCAGACAAGCUUAUUCUCUUAUCAGUCCUUGUAAGUGCCUUGGAGGUUUGCAGAGGAUUCCAGCAAAGGAGGACCCAGGCUCGAGGUCCUUCUAAACAGCCAAGCUGCUCUUUCUGACGCUGUUUCAGCUUCCUCUGCCUUCUACUGCUUCUACUUCACGUGGCAGAUUCCGUUCUGACCAAGGUGCUUCUUUUCGCAGCACCGGGCAUUCUGUUGACAUCAUAGUCUGUUGUUAUGGCAACUGUGUGAUAUCACAGCAGACACUCAAAGGGCUGGGCUGAUCUAAUUGUUUGGACUGAGGUCAGAGGAACAAUGGGAUCAGUAAACAGAAAAAUAAAUGGACAACAUUAUUAUUUAACCCGUGAAGGGAUGAGCUGGCCAGGUGUAACCGGGGUCACGGCUGUUGAUAUUUAAACGGCUCAUCCUAAAUCCAAAAGGUCAAUAUAUUCAGCCAUUUAGUGAGGCUUUGGUCAAUGAUUUAUCUUGGUGACAGGAGGCCUAAGAUCCGGGCUUGAACCUAUUUCUAGUUAAUUGAGCCAGAACCUUCUCCAGACGCCUUCUUGAGUUCCCUGUCUGCUCACCAUAGGUACCCAAUAAAGUUUUGUUGAAUGUACAAAUGAACAGAUAAAAAAGA